UACAGAGGGUGCAAGCGUUAAUCGGAAUUACUGGGCGUAAAGCGUGCGUAGACGGUUAUUUAAGUCAGGUGUGAAAGCCCAGGGCUCAACCUUGGAAUUGCAUUUGAGACUGAAUAGCUAGGGUGCGGAAGAGGGAAGCGGAAUUUCCGGUGUAGCGGUGAAAUGCGUAGAGAUCGGGAGGAACACCAGUGGCGAAGGCGGCUACCUGGACCAGCACUGACACUCAGGCACGAAAGCGUGGGGAGCAAACAGG
rnacentral:rRNA from 1 species